CAUGCGCGUGUGUGAAGAAGGCCCUCGGGUUGUAAAGCACUUUCAGUGGGGAAGAAAGCCUUGGGGCUAAUACCCUCGAGGAAGGACAUCACCCACAGAAGAAGCACCGGCUAACUCCGUGCCAGCAGCCGCGGUAAUAC
rnacentral:rRNA from 1 species